CCUACGGUAGGCAGCAGUGGGGAAUAUUGCACAAUGGGGGAAAGCCUGAUGCAGCGACGCCGCGUGAGUGAAGAAGGAAUUCGUAAUGUAAAGCUCUAUCAGCAGGGAAGAAAUGACGGUACCUGAGUAAGAAGCCCAGGCUAACUACGUGCCAGCAGCCGCGGUAAUACGUAGGGGGCAAGCGUUAUCCGGAUUUACUGGGUGUAAAGGGAGCGUAGACGGGAGGACAGGUCUGGAGUGAAAGGCGGGGGCUCAACUUCGGGAUUGCGCUGGAAACUGUACGGCUGGAGUGUAGGAGAGGUAAGUGGAAUGUCUGGUGUAGCGGUGAAAUGCUUAGAGAUUA
rnacentral:rRNA from 1 species